rnacentral:tRNA from 1 species
UCAAGGAAGAGGCACACACCCCACCGUCAGCACCCAAAGCUGAAAUUCUUUUUAAACUAUUCCCUG